rnacentral:rRNA from 1 species
GUAAUAGCUCACUGGUCGAGUCGGCCUGCGCGGAAGAUGUAACGGGGCUAAACCAUGCACCGAAGCUGCGGCAGCGACACUAUGUGUUGUUGGGUAGGGGAGCGUUCUGUAAGCCUGCGAAGGUGACCUGUGAGGGUUGCUGGAGGUAUCAGAAGUGCGAAUGCUGACAUAAGUAACGAUAAAGCGGGUGAAAAGCCCGCUCGCCGGAAGACCAAGGGUUCCUGUCCAACGUUAAUCGGGGCAGGGUGAGUCGACCCCUAAGGCGAGGCCGAAAGGCGUAGUCGAUGGGAAACAGGUUAAUAUUCCUGUACUUGGUGUUACUGCGAAGGGGGGACGGAGAAGGCUAUGUUAGCCGGGCGACGGUUGUCCCGGUUUAAGCAUGUAGGCUGGUUGUCCAGGCAAAU